AAUCAACGCUGGCGGCGUGCCUAACACAUGCAAGUCGCACGAGAAAGUGGAGCAAUCCAUGAGUAAAGUGGCGACCGGGUGAGUAACACGUGACUAACCUACCUUCGAGUGGGGGAUAACCUCGGGAAACCGGGGCUAAUACCGCAUAACAUCCUUGAAGUGGAAACUUUGGGGAUCAAAGGAGCAAUUCGCUUGAAGAGGGGGUCGCGGCUGAUUAGCUAGUUGGCGGGGUAAUGGCCCACCAAGGCUUUGAUCGGUAGCCGGCCUGAGAGGGCGCACGGCCACACUGGAACUGAAACACGGUCCAGACUCCUACGGGAGGCAGCAGUGGGGAAUUUUGCGCAAUGAGGGAAACCCUGACGCAGCAACGCCGCGUGGAGGAUGAAGUCCCUUGGGACGUAAACUCCUUUCGACCGGGAAGAUUAUGACGGUACCGGUGGAAGAAGCCCCGGCUAACUUCGUGCCAGCAGCCGCGGUAAUACGAGGGGGGCAAGCGUUGUUCGGAAUUAUUGGGCGUAAAGGGCGCGUAGGCGGUGCGGUAAGUCACCUGUAAAUCUCCGGGCUUAACUCGGAGUCUGCAGGCGAAACUGCCG
rnacentral:rRNA from 1 species